UACGGAGGGUGCAAACGUUGCUCGGAAUCAUUGGGCGUAAAGCGCACGUAGGCGGUCUUGCAAGUCGGGUGUGAAAUCCCUCGGCUUAACCAAGGAAGUGCACUCGAAACUGCAAGACUUGAGUACUGGAGAGGGUCGCGGAAUUCUCGGUGUAGAGGUGAAAUGCGCAGAUAUCGGGAGGAACACCAAUGACGAAGGCAGCUCGCUGGGACGGUACUGACGCUGAGACGCGAAAGCGUGGGGAGCAAACAGG
rnacentral:rRNA from 1 species